rnacentral:misc_RNA from 1 species
AAGUCGUAACAAGGUCUCCGUAGGUGAACCUGCGGAGGGAUCAUUAUCGAGUUAAACACCGGUCUUACGGGGCCGGUGCCAUCUCCAACCCUUUGUGAACACAUCCUGUUGCUUCGGGGGCGACCCUGCCGUUCGCGGCAUUCCCCCCGGAGGCCACCAAAACACUGCAUUCUUACGUCGGAGUAUAAAGUUAAUUUGAUAAAA